GAUGAACGCUGGCGGCGUGCCUAAUACAUGCAAGUCGAGCGAACGGACGAGAAGCUUGCUUCUCUGAUGUUAGCGGCGGACGGGUGAGUAACACGUGGAUAACCUACCUAUAAGACUGGGAUAACUUCGGGAAACCGUAGCUAAUACCGGAUAAUAUUUUGAACCGCAUGGUUCAAAAGUGAAAGACGGUCUUGCUGUCACUUAUAGAUGGAUCCGCGCUGCAUUAGCUAGUUGGUAAGGUAACGGCUUACCAAGGCAACGAUGCAUAGCCGACCUGGGAGGGUGAUCGGCCACACUGGAACUGAGACACGGUCCGGACUCCUACGGGAGGCAGCAGUAGUGAAUCUUCCGCAAUGGGCGAAAGGCUGACGGAGCAACGCCGCGUGAGUGAUGAAGGUCUUCGGAUCGUAAAACUCUGUUAUUGGGGAAGAACAUAUGUGUAAGUAACUGUGCACAUCUUGACAGUACCUAAUCAGAAAGCCACGACUAACUAC
rnacentral:rRNA from 1 species